AGUAACGCGUGGGUAACCGUGCCUCAUACAGGGGGAUAACAGUUAGAAAUGACUGCUAAUACCGCAUAAGCGCACAGUGCUGCAUGGCACAGUGUGAAAAACUCCGGUGGUAUGAGAUGGACCCGCGUCUGAUUAGCUAGUUGGUGGGGUAACGGCCUACCAAGGCGACGAUCAGUAGCCGGCCUGAGAGGGUGAACGGCCACAUUGGGACUGAGACACGGCCCAA
rnacentral:rRNA from 1 species